GGAUGAUCGCGGCUGCGGAGUUUUCCCGGGUCACCGGGGAGAUGUUCCCCGAAAGGGUGCAGGUGAGGAAAGUCCGGGCUUCACAGGGCAGGAUGCCGGAUAACGUCCGGCGGAGGCGACUCCCGGGACAGUGCAACAGAGAGCAGACCGCCGCCUCAUGGCGGUAAGGGUGAAAGGGCAGUGUAAGAGACUACCGCUUCUCCGGCAACGGGGAAGGCAUUGCAAACCCCAUCCGAAGCAAGACCGAGAAGAGGGCAACGGCCGGCCCGGCCACGCCUUCAGGUGGGUCGCUCGAGGCCGCCGGCGACGGCGGUCCUAGAUAGAUGAUCAUCCAAGACAGAACCCGGCUUACAGCUCCGCUCA
rnacentral:RNase_P_RNA from 1 species